UUUAAAUCCAAAUGUUGUCACUUAUGUUAGAGAUGAUAAUAAAAAUAUUUUUUUUAUCAGGCAAUAAUGUUGUAAAGAUCAUUACAACAUAACGAUUCGGGCAGCAUCUUUAUUUUCAUUAUUUCCACUUGAAGAAGAUCAAGUUCAAAUAUUGAUUUCAAAUUGGAAUGACGUAAAACUAUUGAGUAUUUGAAUUUUAGUAGAUCACCUAAAACUGAUUUUUAUUAUCCAUCGAAUGCGUCAUUAAAUGUUGGUGUUGGAUGUAAUGCCAAAAGAUAAGUUUCAAUUAUUAGAUGAACAGCCUGAUUACACGUCAGAAGAAUUAAAGCUUAUACAAAAAUUAAAUAUUAUGGAAGAGAAUAUGCAUAAGGAAAGUCAUAGUUUAUGGAUUCAAUUUUAUCAACUUGAACGUAGC